rnacentral:rRNA from 1 species
UAGUCAUAUGCUUGUCUCAAAGAUUAAGCCAUGCAUGUCUAAGCACAAGCCGAUUAAUGGUGAAGCCGCGAAUGGCUCAUUACAACAGCCAUAGUUUCUUAGAUCUUACUUUUCUACUUGGAUAACUGUGGUAAUUCUAGAGCUAAUACACGCAAACAAGCUCAGACCUUACGGAAUGAGCGCAUUUAUUAGAACAAAAACCAAUCGGGCUUCGGUCCGUCAUUUGGUGAAUCUGAAUAACUUUGCUGAUCGCACGGUCUUCGUACCGGCGGCAUAUCUUUCAAAUGUCUGCCUUAUCAACUUUCGAUGGUAGUUUGUGCGCCUACCAUGGUUGUAACGGGUAACGGAGAAUAAGGGUUCGACUCCGGAGAGGGAGCCUGAGAAACGGCUACCACAUCCAAGGAAGGCAGCAGGCACGCAAAUUACCCACUCCCGGCACGGGGAGGUAGUGACGAAAAAUAACGAGACGGCUCGCUAUGCGGUCCGUCAUCGGAAUGGGUACAAUUUAAAUCCUUUAACGAGGAUCUAUU